UACGGAGGGAGCAAGCGUUGUUCGGAAUCACUGGGCGUAAAGGGCGUCUAGGCGGUUUGGUAAGUGGGAUGUGAAAUGCCCGGGCUCACCCCGGGACCUGCAUCCCAAACUGCUGAGCUUGAGUACAGGAGAGGGUGGGGGAAUUCCAGGUGUAGCGGUGAAAUGCGUAGAUAUCUGGAGGAACACCAAUAGCGAAGGCAGCUCGCUGGGCCGGUACUGACGCUAAGGCGCGAAAGCGUGGGGAGCGAACAGG
rnacentral:rRNA from 1 species